UGUAACAAUGAAGGUCACUGAAGAAUGCUCUUAUGCAAUUUUGUUUUAAGGCUUCAUCAAGAAUAAUUCUGAGGAUGAUCUGAGAAAGCUACAAGGUGGAGUUAAACUGGCAUCUAUUACCCAAAUUUUCCCAGUUGAAGGGGCUUAUGGGAGCAACUUGCAAGCAGAGGAAGGCAUCUUUUCUGCAUUGUUGACAACAUGGAGAUCUUGCCCAAGGCCCUAUCAAGAACACAGAAGACCUCAGAGAUGGAAAGAAGACAUUAAGUCAGAUGGGAUGAUCAGCCUGAAAGACAGACUCCAAAGAUAAGAAGUUUUCAGCACUUUGGUGGAGUGAAAUCCAAAAAUAGAUGCUACACAGAAGAUCACAACCAAAAAUAUACUUUAUCCAUAUCACUUUCUCCUUCAAGAUUCUCCUUCAACUUAGAUUUAGGCUCAUCCAUUUGGGCUCCAGAGGGGAAAAGUGACAGAUAAGUGAGUGCUCUGGCUCCUCACCCUUCUGGGACAAUGCCCAAGAAGCCCAUUUUUGUUCCUUACUCCAUGGGUAACUGAAGUCUGGCCCGGUUUAUAAUCUGGGGACUGCUAGGAACAGGGAAAGGGGUGGGGAGGGGAGCUCACAGUAACCGCCUUGCAUAUCUCAACAAAGAGCUGAAAAUCCUACUAGCAGUUUAGGGAAUUCAUCAAGAAGAUGCCCCAAUUUAGAUAGCUCAGCUAGCUAGUAAGCACUCCCAUCAUACCCCUCUCAUACAGCCAGUGACCCAUGCUCCUAUGUUCCUUCAGUCAGUAAAAGUGAACCCCUUAAAGAUAGCACACAUAUCAAAUAAUAACCUUGAACACAUCAGGGCAUGGCCAUAGGAAAAAUAAAUGGAAGGCUUUUGGCAUACAGCUCAGCUUUGUAGUUUCAAAGAAUACCCACGAUCUCAAGAUUUCCCAGAAAGAGGGAACAGAAAGAGUUUAUAGAGAUAAGGCCUAAGAGAACUCCAGAAUCUUCAGCUUCGGUUACUGAAGGGACUGUUCUUUGAAAUGCAAAGAGCAACACAAGGCUACAGAGAGCAACAAAAGGCUUCAAAGAGCACACAGAAAAAUCAAGGGAACAGGACACUGGCCAAUGAAAAAACUACAGCUACAGUGGUUGGUCCCCUCAGAAUGGAGAUCUAUGAGUGGCUCAGUAGCAGAGCACUUGCCUAGCAUGUGUGAAGCCCUGAGUUUGAUUCCUUGCCCUAGGGAAAGAAAAAAAUGAGAAGCUGCAGAUUUGUGAAUUGCCUGAGCAAGAAUGUGAAAACCAUAAUCUUAAGGAAGUACAACGAGAGCCAAGAGAACAGAUAGGAAACUAAACAAAAAUCAGAAGGCAACACGUGAACAAAAUGAAAAGUUCAAGCAACAAAAAGAUAGAAAACAUUAAAAAAAAAAAAAAACAAAUUCUGGAGCUGAAGAAUGAAAUGAUUGACAGAAAAACACUAAUAGCGCUUCCACAGCAGACUCCAUCAAGAGAAAAGAGAAUCAGUGAUGCUGCAGAGAGAGCAUUUGAAAUUGCUGGCUCAGCGAGACAAAAGAACAAAAAAUAUUUGAAGAAAUAGUGACAAAAACUUUCCAAAUCUAGGGAGCAAAACAGACAUCUAGAUCAAUGAAGCCCAAAGAAUUCCAAAAAAGUUGGUCAUAAAUACACCUUCAUGGAGAUAGAUGUACUGAAGUCAUAUUUUCAAAAACUGAUGACAAAAAGUUAAUUUUAAAAGCAGCAAGAUCAAAGUACCCCAUCAAAUACAACAGUACCCCCACACAACUCACAGUAGAUAACUUAGCAGAGGUCCGGUGGGUCAAGAGAGUGGAACAAAAUAGUCUAAAUGCCAUUCCAAAAUACAAUUACCAUCAGGACUAAUUGACCAGCAAAGCUGUCAUUCAGAAAUGAAGAAGAGACCAAAACUUUCCAAAGAAACAGAAGCUCAUACAGCUCAUUAUCACUAACCUUGUCUCUCAAGAAAUGCUAGAGUUCUUCCAGUUGAAAUGAAAGGACAGUAAUUAACAAUUUGAAGACACACGAUAGGAGAAAAAUCACUGCUAGAGAAAAGUAUGGUUGACCUUGUGUAUACACAGGUCCUACCUACGUCUA